rnacentral:piRNA from 1 species
CUCUUGUGCCACAGUUUUGGUCAUGCCUGC